rnacentral:rRNA from 1 species
GAUGAACGCUGGCGGCGUGCUUAACACAUGCAAGUCGAACGGAAAGGCCCUGCUCUUGUGGGGUGCUCGAGUGGCGAACGGGUGAGUAACACGUGUGUAACCUGCCCUUGACUUUGGGAUAACUUCAGGAAACUGGGGCUCAUACCGGAUAGGAGCUCCUGCUGCAUGGGGGGGGAUGGAAAGUGUCGGCGGUUUGGGCUGGAAUCGAGGGUUAUGCGCUUGUUGGGGAGGUAGUGGUUUACAAAGGUUUUGACGGGUAGCCGGCCUGAGAGGGGGACCGGCCACAUUGGGCCUAAGAUAGGGCCCAGACUCGUACGGGAGGCAGCAGUGGGGAAUAUUGCACAAUGGGCGGAAGCGUGAUGCAGCAACGCCGCGUUCGGGAUGACGUCUUUCGGGUUGUAAACCGCUUUCGCCGUUGACGAAGCGUGAGUGACGGUAAUGAGUAAAGAAGCACCGGCUAACUACGUG